CGAGCUGGAGGUGUCGCUGCCCAGCGUGGAGGUGGACGUGCAGGCCCCGGGCGGCAAGCUGCAGGGCGAGGUAUCUGCCAAAGCGUAUUCAUUAGAUGUGCCCUCUCUGCUGGUUCCAUGUUCGUUGUCUUCUGGUGGUGGGAUUAUUGUAUCCUCUAGUGAUGUUUUAAACCAUCAGAAGUUUGCUGAAAUUUUUUACCCUUUGGACUCUCACGAUAGAGAUAACCCUGAAGGUCACUUUCCAGUUGAAUCCCAUACGAGUUCUGAUGUGACGUAUUCUUCAGAUGCAGGGGACAGUAGGUUCAAGAUCUCUUCUGUUGAAGUACCUUCCUUCCAUUUUUCACAGUUUAAAGAAAUGAAGGGAGCUCCUGGGCCUGAAAAGCCUCGUCCUUCAGCCCUCCUUCCGCCUGCUCCCUCUGUAGGGCCUGAUCUGUCUCCUCUUGAGCCUGUGGAACAAGUUGUUUCAGGCUCACGCACAGCCAUGGUGCUGCCCAAGCUCACCCUCUCGGGUCUCCCUUCCUACAGCAGUGGGAGCUUUGACCUCACUUGUAGUGGGCCAGCAUCCUCGUUCCUCCCUCCUUCUGAGUGCGUGGCGCUCACCCAAUUCCCAGUUGCUGUGCUCGCGCCCGGAGGUCCCCAGAAUGGUGCUUCUGGGUCCCUAGCCUUGGCCCCUUCUGUCAGAUCACAGUGCUCUGCGGACCCCCAGGCUGAGCAGGAUCCUCAGGCCAGCCCCACUGGCCAGCACUCUUAUCUCGAAGAUCCCCUGUCUCUUAGGGUGACUUUCCCUAAAUUCCACAAACCACGGUUCAUGGUUCCAGUCCCACUUGCAGUGGCUCCUGAGGGAGGCACUGCUGAGUGCAGUCUGGCCCCGCCCCUUGGCCAAGAGCUGGGGCAGGACUCCUCUGCUCGUGCAGUUAAAGUGUCCCCACUGUCAGGCUCCCAGCCGGCACCCAGGGCUGCUCCUGCGUCACAGAUGUUGGAGGAGGCCCCAAGCCUGUCUGUAGAAGAAGCCUCUGCAGAAGGUGCUGAUGGGGAAGGGACUGGGGGUUCCUUCAAAACUCCUCGCUUCAAGCUGCCAUUGUUCAGCCGGUUGUCAAAGAAGGAGGCCAGACCAGCAGGAGAUACCUCACGCCAACUGGAGGAUCACUCAGGCAGCCUCACUGUGGAUCUGGGUCAUGAGGACUUCUACCCUGGGGUUCAGGGCUCCUGCAUGGAGGCACAUGAGGCCCCUCCUCCAGGGAAGGAAGGCGAUUUGGGGAAGACCAGGAAGGCUGGCUUCACGCUCCCAAGACUGGCCCUUCCCAAGUUGAAGGCGUCCAAGGUACAGGCUGGUCUGAAGCCACAGGGAGACGCAGACACACUGCUUUCUAGCAGCGCAGCCACAGGAACCCAGCGGGAGGCCUUUAGAGCCCCAGGCUCCUGCGGCAGAGAGGUGCACCCUCACCAGGGCGGAGGAGAAAACAGAGCUGCAGCCCUCCCUGCCAGAAGGGCCUGUGACGCUGAGGGUGUCCAGCACCAACGUGCCAUCCCAGGUCUCCGUGGUGGACAUGCGGCAGCUCUGGGAAGACUCUGUGCUCACAGUCACAUUCCCCAAGCUCCGAGUGCCCAAGUUUUCCUUCCCAGCCCCUGGCUCAGAGGCAGACAUCUUCUUCCCCGUGGUGAGAGACGAGCGGGGAAGAGGGGUAGGUGUGGACCCGGGGCCCGGGCUCUGGGAUGCCAGCCUCCUGAGGGCGGGCCCUGGGGAGCCCAGGGAGCAGCCUGCAGGCCCUGACCAAGCCUUGGAAGCCUCCCCAGUGUCCAAGGUGAAGGUGCACAUCCAGGGGGCGCAGGGCGAGAGUCGCGAGGUCAUGGUGUGCAGCCAGGUGAGGCGAGAGUGUGUGGAGCUCAUGGUCCCCGAGACCAUUUCCACUCAGAUGGUGCGGGAGUCAGAGAUCCACACAUCCACUAUGCAGACGCCUUCUUAUGGGUUUUCUUUGCUGAAGCUGAAGCCCCUAGGGCCUCCUGCUCAAGCUCCAGAUCCCAGGGCACAGGAGGGCUCUGCUGCCGCCAGAGCAGACUCCUUCCCUGAGGACAGUGCCCCUGAGGCCGCAGAGCCAUUCGAGGUGCUCUCUGCCAGUGCCAGCCUCCCCAGGCCGCCGACGAUAGGGUCUGAAGUUCCUGCCAGGGCCCCGACUGCAGACAGUGGCUCUGACGAUGAAGAGCCUGCAGAGAUCCUCGAGUUUCUGCCCGAGGACAGUGAGGAGGCUGCAGCACCACCAGCGGCUGAAGACAGAGCUCUGAAAGGCAGGCCAGGAGGAAAAAAGCCUGGUGCGUUCUGGUCCUGGCUUCCGAGCAUCGGGUUCUCCUCCACUGUCAGCGACACCACUGCCGACUCCAGAGAAGACACCCAAGGAUCUGUUCCUGUCCAGACCCAGCCAGGGCCUCGGCCAGACUUGGAAUCGCCUAAGAGGCAGGAGAGAGUGGGCUGGUUCCGGUUUCCCAAAUUAGGGUUCUCCUCCUCGCCCACCAAGAAGACGAAAAGUGUAGAGGACGAGACAGGCGUGGCUGAGCAGCUGCUCCAGGAAGAAAGUGUCACCUUCUUUGACGCCCGGGAAAGCUUCUCCCCUGAGGAGAAGGAAGGUGAGCCAGGCGUGAGCGCCCCAGGCACCACCGGCAUGGUGGCCUCCCCAGCGAGAACGGAGUUGAUCCUGUUGGAGCCAGACCCUCACGCCAGCGAGGAAUCUGAACCCAGGCCCACGAGCAAAUGAAGGCUGCACAGGUGCAACAUCAGGGCAGUGGCUGGGCACCUGCACAGAGCUCCCUGUCCUGGCCCUGCACAGCACCCCAAUUCACAGAGCUGAGCAAAGCAGAGGCCGACAGCACCUCACACUGCCCUAAACAGAACCCAAUAUGCACCAGCUCCUGCCGGGCUUCGGAGGCAAAGAAGCCACCUAGAUUCUUCCCAAUGCAGACCUAGUGUCUGCGUGUCCUGCUGCUCCUCCAGCGUGCUCAGCCCUGAACCCUGAACCCAGAACCCAGAACCCAGCUUGUACAGCUGCACCAGGCCCCGGUGGAGCAGGCUUAGUGGUCCCCUGGUGGCAAUAAAGGAAGCAGUGCGUCCCAGUGAUAAAGGCUGAUGAGCUCUUUUGUUCUGGGGGCCAAACUCACCGUGCCUGCUC
ensembl:lincRNA